CUGUGCAAAGGUAGCAUAAUCAUUAGUUUUUUAAUUGAAAGCUGGUAUGAAAGGUUUGAUGAGAAAAUUGCUGUUUCAAUAUUAAAAUUGAAUUUUAUUUUUGAGUAAGAAAGCUUAAAUUUUUUAAAAAGACGAGAAGACCCUAUAGAGUUUAAUAAAUUAAUAAUUAAUUUUUUUUGGAUUUAAAAAUAAAUUAUUUAUUGGUUUGUUUUAUUGGGGUGAUAUAAAAAUUUAAUUAACUUUUUAUUUAUUUUUACAUUAAUUUUUGAUUUUUUGAUCCUGAGUUUUAGAUUAUAAGAAAAAAUUACCUUAGGGAUAACAGCGUAAUUUUUUUUGAGAGUUCUAAUCGAAAAAAAAGUUUGCGACCUCGAUGUUGGAUUAAAGUAAAAUUUUGGUGUAGAAGUUAAAAUUUUAGGUCUGUUCGACCUUUGAAACU
rnacentral:rRNA from 1 species